rnacentral:rRNA from 1 species
UACGUAGGGGGCAAGCGUUGUCCGGAUUUAUUGGGCGUAAAGAGCGUGUAGGCGGUUUGGUAGGUCCGCUGUGAAAACUCGAGGCUCAACCUCGAGACGCCGGUGGAAACCAUCAGGCUAGAGUCCGGAAGAGGAGAGUGGAAUUCCCGGUGUAGCAGUGAAAUGCGUAGAGAUCGGGAGGAACAUCAGUUGCGAAGGCGGCUCUCUGGACCAGCACUGACACUGAGGCACGAAAGCGUGGGGAGCAAACAGG